UUCUUGGCAUAAAGUUAAAACUAUCGCCAUAAAAAACUUUAAAAAAAACUAUCCUUGGCCAUGGGCUGCAGGAUGUCAUUAAAAGUACAUAUGCUGCAUGCUCAUUUGGAUAAAUUUAAAAACAAUAUGGGAGCCUAUUCCGAAGAGCAAGGAGAACGUUUCCAUCAGGACAUCAUGAAUUUUGAACAACGCUAUCAAGGCCAAUACAAUGAAAACAUGAUGGGCGACUAUAUUUCGGGUUUAUUGAGAGAAAGUAGCUAUGAACAUAAAAGAAAAAGUAAAACUGUGCACUUUUAAGUUAUUUUCCACUUUUCUGUAAGCUAAUUUGAUAGUGAAACUUAAUAAAAAUAAUAAACAUUUUUAUUUCAAUA